CGGGAUCGCUCCCGUCAAGGAAUGUGGCUUCAAUUCAGUAAGCCGAACCUGGAG
rnacentral:ncRNA from 1 species